UUAAACAACCAGAGUCAGCGGCGGGGAGAUAAUUGGGGGUUUAGGGUUCGUGUGUGUUUUUCAAAUCAACCGAUCCAGCCGCCAUUUCAGGUGAGAUAUAGUACUUAUAUAUGUAUGUAUGUGUAUCGUAUAUGCCAGCUUGUGUGGUGAUUUUGUUUAAAUCGAUGGUGGCUGGGGCUUGGGUUGCUGAUUGGUGGCCGUGGUGGCGUGGCCACCGGAGACUGGUUGGUCGCAGGGUUGUACAGAUGCUGGGAUGUUGUACACUUGAGCAAUUGAAGUAUUUCUGCAAGCACACCAAGAAUCAUCGCACUGGAGCCAAAGAUCGGGUUCUGUAUCUCAUUUAUCUCGCGAUUUGCAAGCAGCUCGAUCCCAAAGGCCCCUUUCAUCGUUAAGAAAUCAAUAUCGCAAUGGCAGUCUUAUUAAGUAUGUGGGUGCUGCGGUGCUGUUGAGUUGAAGCAGCAUAGAUAAAUGACGACAAGCUGCAAUUGUAGGCGGGAGAGAUUGAUUUUAAACCCCUGUGACAGAGGUCAUAACCGCGGGAGUUGGUGGUAAAAUCGAGCAGCGGAAGAGGAAACAAACAGAGGUUGAUGAUGAAGUGAAUGCAUUAGCACAACUGAUGACUUGGAAAAUGGCAGUAGCUAACAUACCUUAUGGUGGAGCUAAAGGAGAGAUAGGAUGCAAUCCAGGGGAGUUGAGUAUUUCUGAGCUAGAACGACUUACUAUUUGCAAGGUUAUGCUUAUUGCUUUUUUUCAUAAUUUAUUGUUGUUUCUGUCGAAAGACUUGUCUGUGCAAUCUUUUUGUCCCGUUCUUAUUAUCUAUUAUGAUUGUCCCGUUCUUAUUAUCUAUUAUGUCUGAUGCCAGGAACUGUCAAUGGAACUGUGGGUGUCAACAAGAUGGCUAUAGUUGAUUCACUUGCAAACCAAGAUGUGGAGAUCUCUCUUUUGGACCUCAACCCCAAAACAAGAUAUAAUUUGCAUGAAAAACUUGUUGAGCCACUAUCUCCUGCAGAACCACCAAAGGCUGAAGAACGUGCACAAGUCAUUAUAGAUAAUGUAUAUGAAAUUAUUAUAUACUAGGAUUUGCACAAAUGACAGGAAUUUUUUUUUAUUUUUCAUUCUUUGUUUUCUUAUGUAAUUUUACUAACUUGUAAUAAAGGAAAUCUUAUAUGUGAUUUUUGGUCUGAUAUGAUUUGUUAAUGGUAUAUUUAAAUUUUCAA